rnacentral:rRNA from 1 species
UUUUAUGGAGAGUUUGAUCCUGGCUCAGGAUGAACGCUGGCGGCGUGCCUAAUACAUGCAAGUCGAGCGAACGGACGAGAAGCUUGCUUCUCUGAUGUUAGCGGCGGACGGGUGAGUAACACGUGGAUAACCUACCUAUAAGACUGGGAUAACUUCGGGAAACCGGAGCUAAUACCGGAUAAUAUUUUGAACCGCAUGGUUCAAAAGUGAAAGACGGUCUUGCUGUCACUUAUAGAUGGAUCCGCGCUGCAUUAGCUAGUUGGUAAGGUAACGGCUUACCAAGGCAACGAUGCAUAGCCGACCUGAGAGGGUGAUCGGCCACACUGGAACUGAGACACGGUCCAGACUCCUACGGGAGGCAGCAGUAGGGAAUCUUCCGCAAUGGGCGAAAGCCUGACGGAGCAACGCCGCGUGAGUGAUGAAGGUCUUCGGAUCGUAAAACUCUGUUAUUAGGGAAGAACAUAUGUGUAAGUAACUGUGCACAUCUUGACGGUACCUAAUCAGAAAGCCACGGCUAACUACGUGCCAGCAGCCGCGGUAAUACG